UACGUAGGGUGCAAGCGUUAAUCGGAAUUACUGGGCGUAAAGCGUGCGCAGGCGGUUUUGUAAGUCUGACGUGAAAUCCCCGGGCUUAACCUGGGAAUUGCGUUGGAGACUGCAAGGCUGGAGUCUGGCAGAGGGGGGUAGAAUUCCACGUGUAGCAGUGAAAUGCGUAGAGAUGUGGAGGAACACCGAUGGCGAAGGCAGCCCCCUGGGUCAAGACUGACGCUGAGGAGCGAAAGCAUGGGGAGCGAACAGG
rnacentral:rRNA from 1 species